UACGUAGGGUGCGAGCGUUGCCCGGAUUUAUUGGGCGUAAAGGGCGCGUAGGCGGCUCUGCACGUUCGUUGUGAAAUCGCCCGGCUCAACGGGGCGGGGUCAGCGGAUACGGCAGAGCUUGAGCAAGCUAGGGGGCAAUGGAAUUCCCGGUGUAGUGGUGGAAUGCGUAGAUAUCGGGAGGAACACCAGUGGCGAAGGCUGUUGCCUGGGGCUUUGCUGACGCUGAUGCGCGAAAGCGUGGGGAGCGAUCCGG
rnacentral:rRNA from 1 species